rnacentral:rRNA from 1 species
GAUGAACGCUGGCGGCGUGCCUAAUACAUGCAAGUCGAGCGAAUGGAUUAAGAGCUUGCUCUUAUGAAGUUAGCGGCGGACGGGUGAGUAACACGUGGGUAACCUGCCCAUAAGACUGGGAUAACUCCGGGAAACCGGGGCUAAUACCGGAUAACAUUUUGAACCGCAUGGUUCGAAAUUGAAAGGCGGCUUCGGCUGUCACUUAUGGAUGGACCCGCGUCGCAUUAGCUAGUUGGUGAGGUAACGGCUCACCAAGGCAACGAUGCGUAGCCGACCGGAGAGGGUGAUCGGCCACACGGGGACUGAAACACGGCCCAGACUCCUACGGGAGGCAGCAGUAGGGAAUCUUCCGCAAUGGACGAAAGUCUGACGGAGCAACGCCGCGUGAGUGAUGAAGGCUUUCGGGUCGUAAAACUCUGUUGUUAGGGAAGAACAGGUGCUAGUUGAAUAAGCUGACACCUUGACGGUACCUAACCAGAAAGCCACGGCUAACUACGUGCCAGCCGCCGCCGUAA